ACCUAGGGGCGCAGCAGUGGGGAAUAUUGGGCAAUGGGCGCAAGCCUGACCCAGCAACGCCGCGUGAAGGAAGAAGGCUUUCGGGUUGUGAACUUCUUUUCUCAGGGACGAAGCAAGUGACGGUACCUGAGGAAUAAGCCACGGCUAACUACGUGCCAGCAGCCGCGGUAAUACGUAGGUGGCAAGCGUUAUCCGGAUUUACUGGGUGUAAAGGGCGUGUAGGCGGGGACGCAAGUCAGAUGUGAAAACCACGGGCUCAACCUGUGGCCUGCAUUUGAAACUGUGUUUCUUGGGUACUGGAGCGG
rnacentral:rRNA from 1 species